rnacentral:rRNA from 1 species
AACGAACGCUGGCGGCAGGCUUAAUACAUUCAAGUCGAACGCCCCGCAAGGGGAGUGGCAGACGGGUGAGUAACGCGUGGGAAUCUACCCAGAUCUUCGGAACAACCGAGGGAAACUUAAGCUAAUACCGGAUAGGCCCUACGGCGGAAAGAUUUAUCGGUUCUGGAUGAGCCCGCGUUGGAUUAGCUAGUUGGUGGGGUAAUGGCCUACCAAGGCGACGAUCCAGAGCUGGUCUGAGAGGAUGAUCAGCCACACUGGGACUGAGACACGGCCCAGACUCCUACGGGAGGCAGCAAUGGGGAAUAUUGGACAAUGGGCGAAAGCCUGAUCCAGCCAUGCCGCGUGCGUGAUGAAGGCCUUAGGGUUGUAAAGCUCUUUCAGUAGGAAAGAUAAUGACGGUACCUACAGAAGAAGCCCCGGCUAACUUCGUGCCAGCCGCCGCCGUAAUAC